rnacentral:lncRNA from 1 species
CAGGCAUAUGCUGAGCUAUUAACCCGUGCUUCUUCCUUUUUUUGCCUUCAGAAUUUCACAGGAAACCCUCUGGUGUGUUACAGCAGCAGAAUCUGCUUUCUUCUUUAAUUAAACUCAUGGCUUGUUUGAAAACAGAGUAAUUGUUACUGGGGCAACACAUCUUAAAUUCCUGCUCUUGCUAAUAAAUCAAAGGCGUACUGUCAAAUCUUCAUCUCGAUCUCUGGGAGGAAGUUUCUUCUUGCAUGCAAUUAAGAAUCCUCAGCUGCUCUGCAGUUCAGUGGGUUUUCUCUGCAAAUACAAGUUAGCAGAGGUGAGCUGAGGCCACAGCGUGGCUCUUUGCUUGCUGCAGUCACAGCGUGUGUUGUGCCAUGAGCGGCGCUGUAUUCUGAUCUCUCUCACGUCUAGACGGAUAUUCAUAAUGAAAUAGAUGUCUGGAUAAUGAAGUAGACUUUCACAGUCCUAAUGGGAUUGAAGCCUGCAAAGGAUGGAAAAAGAGCAACUAGCACUAUACCCUCCAAGGCCCCUGGAUUUCGCAGUUCAGAAACAGACUUGAUAACGUAUGAGACGGACGUGGAUGGAUGAAGCGGGAAAAACAACAAAUAUUCAAUAAUGCUUAGGAGCAAAUUCAGAUCGUGGUAUAGAUGAGAACCGUGGCAGAGUGAAGCGCAGACUUCAGCUCAUCUCCAGCUGGACAGAUGUUCUAGCCGCCAUAAUGGUAAGCACGGUAGUCUUUGUUUUAACAGCACUUGUGCCUUUACAAUGAGGUGUGAGGGUCUAUUUUCCUGAAAAUGAGCUUUAUUUAAUGCGAUUAAUUUAACCAUGACUCAGUGAUCCAUUCUCCUCCACAUAAAUUUCUAAGGCCUUUUCUGUCUCAUUAUUUUAACUCCAGAAAAUCACAGCCAGACCCAACUAUGCCUGUUACUUCGAAUUUGUGGGAAUCUCACACUGCAUUAAAUGUAUAAAUGGCUGGGCUGGUAGGGUGUAAGUGCACUGCUUCUGUCUGAUCUCAUAGCAUUUAUUACCUGUUCUGAUAAAAAUAUCUGAUAAUCAUCGAUACAUUUUGGAUAAUAUGUCAAUAAAACACCUUCC